rnacentral:lncRNA from 1 species
GCCCAAACACUGCUGGUUCUUCACCAUCCCAGGGCCUUUGCACCUGCUGUUCUUGCAACCUGGAAUGCCUGUCCUGUUCCUACCUACCUGGCAGUUCUCAGCCAUCCCUGAGGACUCACUCUCAACCCAGGCCCCCAGCCUGCCAAGACACAGUCUCCCCUCCUGAUCCAGGAGAGAGAGGACCCCGCCCAGACUCUGGCCUAACACCUGUGCUUUUUGUCUGUCCUUCACCCUCUCCUGGUGCACCACGUGGCAGGGCCAUAUCUGAUUCCCUUUGUGGCCUAGGUCCUGAGGGCUCUGGGCCAGCCUGGCCAGGAUUGGGAUCCCCACCAGCUGUGUGGUUUGCCCCAAACUGGAAAAACCCAGACGCCUGUCAGCAGCGGAGCAGACAAACGCAGCUGGGUCCAUCACACAGCGGAACGUGGGACAGCCUCGAGAACCAGCCACCUUCCGCUCUGGGAGCCACUGUGGACGCCUCGCCACGUGUCGUCCAGGCUAGGGCAGAACUGCUUCCACGACAGGCUAAGUGCAGAAACAGGUGCUGGUGACAAGGUGCAUUCAGUUUAUAAAAAUUCAUUAGGCCAUAUACUUAAGCACAUCCUGUCAGUCUGUUCCAGUUACCCGAGCAGGAAGUGACGUCUCAUCUAAAACAGCCUCUAACAGUGAAUCACCUCAACAAACAGGCUCAUGGACAUUCAAAUGUUUCCAGUUUGGGGACAUCAUGAAUAAUGCUGCUGUGGACUUUGGAGGACAACUUUGUUCUGCCCCAUCGGACUGUGUGCUCCCCAAGGGCAGCGGCCUCACUUGUGUUGCUUGUCGCCAUGACCAGAGCUCAACUAAGAUUCC